GACGAACGCUGGCGGCGUGCCUAAUACAUGCAAGUAGAACGCUGAAGGAGGAGCUUGCUUCUCCGGAUGAGUUGCGAACGGGUGAGUAACGCGUAGGUAACCUGCCUGGUAGCGGGGGAUAACUAUUGGAAACGAUAGCUAAUACCGCAUAACAGUAGAUAUUGCAUGAUAUCUGCUUGAAGGGUGCAAUUGCAUCACUACCAGAUGGACCUGCGCUGUAUUAGCUAGUUGGUGAGGUAACGGCUCACCAAGGCGACGAUACAUAGCCGACCUGAGAGGGUGAUCGGCCACACUGGGACUGAGGCACGGCCCAGACUCCUACGGGAGGCAGCAGUAGGGAAUCUUCGGCAAUGGACGGAAGUCUGACCGAGCAACGCCGCGUGAGUGAAGAAGGUUGUCGGAUCGUAAAGCUCUGUUGUAAGAGAAGAACGAGUGUGAGAGUGGAAAGUUCACACUGUGACGGUAUCUUACCAGAAAGGGACGGCUAACUACGUG
rnacentral:rRNA from 1 species